AUUGAACGCUGGCGGCAUGCUUUACACAUGCAAGUCGAACGGUAACAGGCCGCAAGGUGCUGACGAGUGGCGAACGGGUGAGUAAUGCAUCGGAACGUGCCCAGUCGUGGGGGAUAACUACUCGAAAGAGUAGCUAAUACCGCAUAUGAUCUAUGGAUGAAAGCGGGGGACCGUAAGGCCUCGCGCGAUUGGAGCGGCCGAUGUCAGAUUAGGUAGUUGGUGGGGUAAAGGCUCACCAAGCCAACGAUCUGUAGCUGGUCUGAGAGGACGACCAGCCACACUGGGACGGAGACACGGCCCAGACUCCUACGGGAGGCAGCAGUGGGGAAUUUUGGACAAUGGGCGCAAGCCUGAUCCAGCAAUGCCGCGUGCAGGAAGAAGGCCUUCGGGUUGUAAACUGCUUUUGUACGGAACGAAACGGCUCUGGUUAAUACCCGGGGCUAAUGACGGUACCGUAAGAAUAAGCACCGGCUAACUACGUG
rnacentral:rRNA from 1 species